rnacentral:rRNA from 1 species
GUAGGGAAUAUUGCGCAAUGGGGGAAACCCUGACGCAGCGACGCCGCGUGAGUGAUGAAGGCCUUCGGGUCGUAAAGCUCUGUUGCAGGGGAAUAAAAAAAUGAAGGUACCCUGUGAGGAAGGAUCGGCUAACUUCGUGCCAGCAGCCGCGGUAAGACGAGGGAUCCUAGCGUUGCUCGGAAUCAUUGGGCGUAAAGAGGGCGUAGGUGGCUUGGUAAGUCAGGUGUGAAAGCCCAGGGCUCAACCCUGGAAGUGCAUUUGAUACUGCUGAGCUUGAGUGUCGGGGAGGUUACCGGAAUACCUGGUGUAGUGGUGAAAUACGUAGAUAUCAGGUGGAACACCGGAGGCGAAGGCGGGUAACUGGACGAACACUGACACUGAGGCCCGAAAGCGUGGGGAUCAAACAGGAUUAGAAACCCCUGUAGUCC